rnacentral:rRNA from 1 species
UACGUAGGGUGGCAAGCGUUGUCCGGAAUUAUUGGGCGUAAAGAGCUCGUAGGCGGUGUGUCACGUCGGCCGUGAAAACCUGCAGCUUAACUGUGGGCGUGCGGUCGAUACGGGCAUCACUGGAGUUCGGCAGGGGAGACUGGAAUUCCUGGUGUAGCGGUGAAAUGCGCAGAUAUCAGGAGGAACACCGGUGGCGAAGGUGGGUCUCUGGGCCGAAUGACUGACGCUGGAGGAGCGAAAGCGUCGGGGAGCGAACAGG